rnacentral:ncRNA from 1 species
CUCUGACACGCUCCUACUGUGGCCAGUCUGGCCAUCACUUUUGGUUCCGGCGCAAUGAC